rnacentral:RNase_P_RNA from 1 species
GCAGUCGGCCGGGCGACCGCUGCGCCCGGCGCGGUGCGCCGCGCCGGACGGGGAGGAAAGUCCGAACUCCGCAGGGCAGUGCGCCGGGUAACCCCCGGUCAGGGUGACCUGAAGGAAAGUGGCACAGAAAACAUACCGCCGCCGGCGCUUCCGGGCGCGGGCCGGUAAGGGUGAAAAGGUGCGGUAAGAGCGCACCGCGUUCCCUGCAAGGGGAAUGGCAGGCUAAACCCCGCACGGAGCAAGACCAAAUAGGGAGGCGCCCGAGAGCGGCCCGCUCGAAGCCUCCGGGUAGGUUGCUGGAUCCCGUCAGCAAUGGCGGGGCUAGAGGAAUGGUCGUCACCGCGGCCGGGUGACUCGUCACGCGGGCGCGGUACAGAAUUCGGCUUACGGCCGGUCUGCGGCG